rnacentral:tRNA from 1 species
GGAUAAGUGGCUGAGUGGCUUAAGGCAUUAGUCUUGAAAACUAACGUAGGUUUAAACUACCGUGGGUUCGAAUCCUACCUUGUCCG